rnacentral:rRNA from 1 species
AACGAACGCUGGCGGCAGGCCUAACACAUGCAAGUCGAGCGAGGACUUCGGUUCUAGCGGCGGACGGGUGAGUAACGCGUGGGAAUGUGCCCUUCUCUACGGAAUAGCCCUGGGAAACUGGGAGUAAUACCGUAUACGCCCUAUUGGGGAAAGAUUUAUCGGAGAAGGAUCAGCCCGCGUUGGAUUAGGUAGUUGGUGGGGUAAUGGCCUACCAAGCCGACGAUCCAUAGCUGGUUUGAGAGGAUGAUCAGCCACACUGGGACUGAGACACGGCCCAGACUCCUACGGGAGGCAGCAGUGGGGAAUCUUAGACAAUGGGGGCAACCCUGAUCUAGCCAUGCCGCGUGAGUGAUGAAGGCCUUAGGGUUGUAAAGCUCUUUCAGCUGGGAAGAUAAUGACGGUACCAGCAGAAGAAGCCCCGGCUAACUCCGUGC